rnacentral:sRNA from 1 species
GCCAGGUGCAGUGGCCCACACCUAUAAUCCCAGCAGCUCAGGAGGCUGAGACAGGAGGAUCAUGAGUUCAAAGCCAGCCUCAGCAAGGUGAGGCACUAAAUAACUUAGUGAGACCCUGUCUCU